CUACGUGCCAGCAGCCGCGGUAAUACGUAGGUGGCAAGCGUUGUCCGGAAUUAUUGGGCGUAAAGCGCGCGCAGGCGGAUUGGYCAGUCUGUCUUAAAAGUUCGGGGCUUAACCCCGUGAUGGGAUGGAAACUGCCAAUCUAGAGUAUCGGAGAGGAAAGUGGAAUUCCUAGUGUAGCGGUGAAAUGCGUAGAUAUUAGGAAGAACACCAGUGGCGAAGGCGACUUUCUGGACGAAAACUGACGCUGAGGCGCGAAAGCCAGGGGAGCGAACGGGAUUAGAUACCCCGGUAGUCCUGGCCGUAAACGAUGGGUACUAGGUGUAGGAGGUAUCGACCCCUUCUGUGCCGGAGUUAACGCAAUAAGUACCCCGCCUGGGGAGUACGACCGCAAGGUUGAAACUCAAAGGAAUUGACGGGGGCCCGCACAAGCGGUGGAGUAUGUGGUUUAAUUCGACGCAACGCGAAGAACCUUACCAGGUCUUGACAUUGAUGGACAGAACUAGAGAUAG
rnacentral:rRNA from 1 species